GCAACGGCAAAAUCCGUUGCCGGGAUUGAGACCCCGAAGCAUUCCAAGCGCACAACACGCGCCCGCGUGUUUUUU
rnacentral:sRNA from 1 species